CCUACGGGUGGCAGCAGUGGGGAAUAUUGCACCAUGGGGGAAACCCUGAUGCAGCGACGCCGCGUGAGUGAAGAAGUAAUUCGUUAUGCAAAGCUCUAUCCGCCGGGAAGAACAUGACGGUACCUGAGUAAGAAGCCCCGGCUAACUACGUGCCAGCAGCCGAGGUCAUACGUCGGGGGCAAGCGUUAUCCGGAUUUACUGGGUGUAACGGGAGCGUAGACGGCAGUGAAAGUCUGGAGUGAAAGGCGGGGGCUCAACCCCCGGACUGCGCUGGAAACUGGACGGCUUGAGUGCAGGAGAGGUAAGUGGAAUGCCUAGUGUAGCGGUGAAAUGCGUAGAUAUUAGGAGGAACACCAGUGGCGAAGGCGGCUUACUGGACUGUAACUGACGUUGAGGCUCGAAAGCGUGGGGAGCAAACAGGAUUAGAUACCCCAGUAGUC
rnacentral:rRNA from 1 species